CACGUAGGGUGCGAGCGUUGUCCGGAAUUAUUGGGCGUAAAGAGCUCGUAGGCGGUGUGUCGCGUCGGCCGUGAAAGUCCGGGGCUCAACUCCGGAUCUGCGGUGGGUACGGGCAGACUAGAGUGAUGUAGGGGAGACUGGAAUUCCUGGUGUAGCGGUGAAAUGCGCAGAUAUCAGGAGGAACACCGAUGGCGAAGGCAGGUCACUGGGCCGCAACUGACGCUGAGGCGCGAAAGCGUGGGGAGCGAACAGG
rnacentral:rRNA from 1 species